rnacentral:lncRNA from 1 species
GGUGACGCGGCGCGGAGACCCCGGGGGCGGGGAGGGCCGGUGCGGGGCGCGCGUUUCCUCCGCGAGCCCGUCAGUGUCGAGGCGCGGAGCCGGAGCCCCCUCAGCCCCGCGCCCGGAAGCGGAGCGAUGCCGAUCGGUCUGGCAGCCCCUCGCGUGCACCACGCCGGAGACAAAGCCAGCGCGUGAGCGGCGCCCUCGGUCCGCGCUCCCGGGUGAGCCUCAAAGCAGGAGCGCUGAACCAGGCUACCAUCUGACGACCAUCAGCUACUGCUGCCAGUCUGUCCCCUGCCCAGGCCUGUCACCGUGUCAUCUCUCAGCAGGGGCAGCAGAAUGAAAGAAGGCAUGUCCAAUAACAGCACCGCCAGCAUUUCCCAGGCCCGGAAGGCUGUGGAGCAGCUGAAGAUGGAGGCCUGUAUGGACAGGGUGAAGGUGUCCCAGGCGGCAGCAGACCUCCUGGCCUACUGUGAAGCCCACGUGCGGGAGGACCCUCUCAUCAUCCCGGUGCCUGCGUCAGAAAACCCUUUCCGAGAGAAGAAGUUCUUCUGUACCAUCCUCUGACUCUCCGUUUGUUGUGGAAAUGUCUCCUUUUCUGUCCAUAAAACCCCUGGUAGAGACUGCGCAUGCUCUUAGCUUUAGGGAGCCCCGCCCACACCCAGCCCCGCCCAACCAGGACUGACCGUCCUGUCCCGUCUUUUCAUUGGUUUUCCUCGUUGCGCUCCAUCUCACUUUUUCUUUUCAUUUUCAUGUUAUUUUCAUUAUUAGAAAAGCAAACAGACAUGUUUGUAGCCGGAUAACAAGUGUGCCAAGUAUAAAUAAGUAUGGGCUUAAGGGCUUAAAUUUUUUAAACAUCACUUCCCCACUGUACGUACAUCGAGUUUAUACAUUUCAGUGGAUUAUUUAUUGAGAAGGGAAAAUAUAUUCAACAAGCCCCCAUUCGCAAUCGCUUUGUCAAAUUAGAGCAUCUAUUGGUAGUUUCCAUCGCUCUUGCUGGAGAAAGCAGUUUUAUAAGUUCUCUAUUUCCUGCUUUUCCCGUUAAAGAAGAAAUAACUCCCAUCAUCAGACAAUUUUCCAAACAUGGGUCUUCCUGGGACCCUGCAGCCCAGACCUUGACAGAGGGCACCCUGUUUCCCACGAUUAUCACUGAUCCCUUUGGAGGUGGUCCUUCCACGAGUGGAGGUGUAGAGGGGAUAUUGGAGGGAGCUUAGCUGUAAACGUCACAACCAUGACACUGUUUACGUGUUCCAUCCAGGCUGGCCGGGGGCACCACCUCUCCUCUCUGUAUGCCACCCUGCCCUGCUCCCUCCUGUGUUGGCUCCUCCUCUGUGGGACUGACAUGAGCCGAAUUGAUGGGGGCCUGUUUGGGGCUCGGUAGUAUGUCCCCCUCCCCCAGAGGCGUGAGUCAAGGGCAGCAGCUCAGCCUGUACCAUCCACAGAUUGGAGCAUUCACACCCAUCCACUUCUUUAAAUCCCCAUGAAUAAAUAAAUACUGUGAGACUAUGUCUGGUCUUAAGAGAGGGAAACUGAGGCACAGAAUGACAGUGUAGUUUCCCCGAGGUUGUAGAUAGUAAGCAGGAAGACUGGGACCUGACUGCAGACACCAGUUCCCAGCCUUGAGCUCCACUGCCUUCCAGGCGUACCUGUUUGCAGGUAGGCAGGUAAACCCACAAACAACCUGAGCCAUGUGCCAUGACACCCCAUCGCUGGGGUCUGCUCCGUGGCACACUUCUCUUCCAGUCUUUGCCAGGAGUAGGCAUGUCGACCGGUAUUCUGGCAGCUUGUGGAAGGUGAUGUGUGACUGCCCCUGUGGGAGGCUGGAUAGAGUUUGAUUUUUCUGAGACAAACUUGCAAGUCCACAGAAAACAAACCCCUCCCACCCCUGAUGAAGGGAAUAAACCAUAGGGGCAGAGAGCGCUCUGUCCAAGUUUGUUCUAUUCUAUUUGUUGGACACUGCCUCCCUCCUGGCUCCGGCAGCGACUUCACCAUGUGCAGCAGGGCAAGUCAUCGUAUCCCUGAAACACUCCAACCUGCAAAUUGCGGAUCAUGGUAACGACUCCUCCUGCCUGUCUGUCUAGGACAGAGGGAGAUGAUACAUAGAUGAAAGCUCUGAUGACCAUUUAAAACAAAUCCAUAUACCAAAUGCUAGGACAUAGCGUAGGGAAGAGAGCCACGGUUCCGUUGGAGGAAUCCUGUAAAAAUUGCCUGCAAAGAGGCAAGUAUAAUUUUCAGAUUAAAUUAUUGACUGGCUACCCUUGUAAAUGGUUUUAGGACAUUUGUAUUCUUGGCUGCUUUUGUUGAAACCCAUUCUUCAUUUCAUGAAAGCUCCCUGAUAAGCCCAGGGUUGUCAGGAAGCUGUGUGCUCAAACUGUAGCAGAAGUCUAUGCUGUCUGUGACAAUACGACUUCAGAUCCUCCUCUGUUUGGGUUUAUGACCAAGAUCUUUUAUUUUGUGAUCCGUGUCAGCAUCAUUAACCUGAUAAGGCAAAGCACAAUCCCUAAAAGCACAUCCGAGAAGCUGAAGAAGUGGGACAGCAUGGAAACCAGCUAAAUCAGGUCAAGGACAAAAUAUGCCCCUCCGCUUAGCCAAACUCCCCCCACUUUGUUUUCACUUUCAGCGUCCCUCCAUAUUCCACCUCCCCUUUUGCCCUCUUUUUCCUUUCUUCCGCUCAUCCUUGCAUCCCUCCCUCAGAUGCUUUUUGUCCUUUGAUUUCUCCUUUUCCUCCCAAACCUGUGGUGUUUUGUGUGACUUGCACCUUCCACGGGUCCCAGAACUCAGUGCCACUCUUAAAGGCAAGGUCAUGCACACGGGUAGCGAGGUAUACUAACGUGUCGAUGAGCCUCCCUGCAACAGUCACUGGGAGCUGAUGAAGUGGGGGUGGCCCUGGAGUGGGGAGUUAUCAUUUGGUGUUUCCAGCUUGGCUGUGUAGCCCCUGACCGCUUUUCUAAAGGGAGAAAUCACCCCUUAUGUACAAGUGUAGUGGGGUGCAGUAUCCACUCCCACUGUGGAUGCUGAAGUGGGGAAAUCUUCCUUGUCUCUCAGAUGUACCCCCUUUUCCAGCACCAGCCAGGCCAGGGAGUGGCCAGUGACCCAGGGUGAACUCCUGGGACUCCCCUGCUUGGGACUGUGAGCUCAGAGCAAACGAUGCAAAAAUGAAGGGAUGCUGAGCUUCCUUUCAGAGAAGCUGCGGUGGUCCAGCAGGGGAUGUGUCUGGGACUGGCAGGCUGCAGGGAUGGUGUGUCCACUGCUAGUAAGGUCCAAGGACGGCAGAUUCCUGGGCAGAGUGUUUCUGCUCCGAGCCUUGGCCCACCCCACUGAGUUGUCUCGGUCCCCACCCAUCUUUUCAGCUCUCCUUUCUAGCUUUCUGUCAAUUCUGUGAGCCUCCAACCUCCCUCCAGUAAAUUUCUCAUUCUUUCAUGAAAUAGCCUGGGUUGAAUGUAUAUAUCAUAUGACCUAAAAUCUUCAUUCCUCGGUGUCUACCCCAAAGAAAUGUGUGUGUACAUUCACCAAAAGAAAGGUGCAAGAUUGUUCAUAGAAGUGCUGUUCACAGUAGCCCCGAACUGGAAAGCACCCUGAUGCCCAUGUUGAAUGGAUAGACAAACCACAGCACAUUGGCACAGUGAGGUUCUCUGCAGCAAGAAGGGAUGUUCCCGUGGCCAGGCGCAGCCCUGUGUGAGCCUCACGAGAGAAGGCAAGUUCACACUAUAUGGCUCCAUUUAUAUCAAGUAUGAAACCCACAGAACUCACCUCUGCUAUUGCAACAGGGACGUGAGUUACUCCUGGGUGGAUGGGAAGCAGAAGGGCACAAGGCCGUUUCUUGGAUAUUCUGGUGCUGGUGGCUGGUUACCCGAGCGUAUCCAGUGUGUAAAUAUUCGUUCUGAUUCCUGAUCUGGUGGCUGGUUACCCGAGAGUGUGCAGGGUAUAAACGUUCUCCAAGCCGUACCGUUUGGGUUUGCACCCUUUUCUGUGUGUAUGUUGUACUUCAAUAAAAAGUUGGUUAUGGGCUAGUAAUCAAGAAUCGUACAAUUUUUGGAGUUCCCGUUGUGGCGCAGUGAUAACGAAUCCCACUAGGAGCCAUGAGGUUGCAGGUUCAAUCCCUGGCCUUGCUCAGUGGGUUAAGGAUCCAGCGUUGCCGUGAGCUGUGGUGUAGGUCACAGAUUCGGCUUGGAUCUGGUGUUGCUGUGGCUCUGCUAUAGGCCGGUAGCAACAGCUCCAAUUCGACCCCUAGCCUGGGAAACUACAUAUGCCAAGGGUGCGGCCCUAUAAAGACAAAGGACAAAAAAAAAAAAAAAAAAAGAAUCCUACAGAUUUUUGGCACUUGGCUCAACUUUUUACUCCUCUUUAGGUGUAACAUCAUUAGUGGGGCAUUUAAAUGUAUUUGACAACAUGCUGAAGUACAAAAUCUGAUCCACAGCUCUCUGGCCAGUGCACCAGCUCUCAGCACGAGGCAGGGAAUGCCUGGGAAUGGGCCACAUGAAUGCGUGCGUGGACUCUGUGUCUCUUGGGAGAACAGUGAGGAAUCCUCCUGAGAUUUCCCACUUGGAUUGUCCUCCCUGUCACGGCAGCAGGUGACAUCCUCCCAGUCUCUCCUGCCUUCUGGCAACUGGAUUGAAUGGAGGGGAUGGCGGGCCACAAACCCUGUGAUCAAACGUUGCCUCUGGGGAGGAGCUGCAGCUCAGGGACUAGCUGGCUCUGUGAUGUUGAAUCUCUCGGGCCACCAAAGCUGGAGAUGCUCCCAGACUCUGCCCCCAGCCUUGAGUGUGCUUGGCCCCCUCCCAAACCCCCCAUUGCUUUGGAGCACCCUCCCACCCCACCCCCUACCGCCAGCCUCCGGGCUGUCUUCUUUGCUUUCAGCUCCCACGUGGCCUCACCAUCUUCCUUCUUGCAGCUCUGACACAUUGCACCCCCAAGUGAUCACAGCACAGCUCCACACUGGGCCCCCUGCUCCAUGAGUCAAUGGGUCUUACCUUUGAUUCUGAGCUCCAGGCCCCACAAGACUCAACAAGGAGCCCAGGAAUUGUCAGCAGCCUCCCUCUGAGGGAGCUGUGGGAGGCAAGCAGACCAAAGGUCAGCAGGAAUUUUGUUCCGAUGACUGUUCAAAGCUGAGAUGAAGAUAACAGUAACAGGGGUUCCCGCUGUGGCACAACAGGAUCUGUGGCACCUUGGGAGCACUGGGACGCAGGUUUGAUCCCCGGGCGGGCACAGUAGGUUGAGGAUCUGAGUGGGGAUCACAGUGGGUUGCCAAACUGAGGCUUAGGUCACAACUAUAGCUCCGCUCUCAUCCCUGGCCUGGGAACUCCAUAUGCCAUGGGAUGGCCAAAAGAGAAAAGAAAAAAAAAAAAAAAA